CACUGCUCAGACUUCUGCCUUUCCUGACGAGGUGUCUAAUAGCUAAAUGAAACCAUGGGAAUUUCUCCAUCGAGAAAUCAGCAAUGCACUCUCACCCACAGCUAAUAUUUCAAAGUGGCAACUGCAUGAACAGGCCUGAAGGUCCAUCCUCAACGAGCUUCUAUGUAGCUACCAAUGCUAACAAGAAGGUUCUGUUGUCCUUUCCUCAAAGAGAGCACGUAUCUGAAAACAGCUCUGGUGCAGUUCUGCUGGAAGAAGCAAGAAGCUAUUAGCGGAGGCACUUGAGGCCGCUGUGCAAGUCCAUUACCCCAGAAAUAGAUUAAAGUAAGUUUGCAGAUCCGUGCUGGCCCAGCGUUCUCUCUCUUACCUGAAAGAAUGUGGCUCUGUUAGUAGGAGACAGAUGUUCUUAUCUCAUCCGCCUGACAAA